UUCCAUAAUUUUUAGAUUUAGGAGGAAAUGUAUGUGUAUAUUAUUUAUCUAGAUCUACUUAUGAACAAUACGUGGUGAAUAGUUAAUAAGACUUGGUAAAUUCAAGAAAUUACUUGAUUGAGUGAUCCACAUGGAUGAUCUAACGAAUGAUGAUUGAAGGAUAUUGAUUUUUAGAUUUUGCUGAUUGGGAUAUGCUAACAAAUUCUAACUUUGGCUUAGUUAUAACCUGAGGUAUCAAUUUUUUUUAAAAAAUAAUUAAAUAUGUUUGAAAUUUGUGGUUUUGCCAACUUCCUGUCAUAUCUCAUGGAGGAAAGUUUUGUCUUUAGCUAAAACCAAAUGUCUGCUUUUGUUAGUAUUCUUCUGUGAAGCUUAGAAUGGAUUUCCUUCCAUAUUUAUAUUUAAGAUAAAGAUGUUAUCCAACUACUGCUUAAUAGUUUUUAAAAUAACAAAGUAAAUUUUCAAGUGAUGUUCUGAAUUGUCUUGUCGAAUUGUACAUCUAUGGUUACAAGUACUUUUAUGAAGUUGAUGGAUUUAAAGAAGGCACACUGGGGUUGGUCAUGGGUCUAUUACCAACUAUCAGGAAUUAGGAAUGAGUGAGGGUAUUCUUAGUGAAAGCUAUGAGAAAUUUCACCCUCAGCUAAGUGAUUAUUAACAGAUGAGAUGACAGAGUCUGCUGUCUAGUAGCUCUCUUAGAUGACACAGUCUGCUUUCUAGUAGCUUUCUUACACAAUGUUUUUGAAAAGGACUGAUGCCAGCCCAUGUCAGUCACUGGAUGUUACAACACCUUUAUCGACAAACUGUUCAGCCAGUACUCUGUAUCCGUAUGAGUGGGUAUGUAGCCAUCAUUAUGGGCUGUACUGAUGCUACUUGAAUCCUUGCUCUUAUAUGCUCAAUCAGUUUUAGGUAAUUUUUGGUAUCUUGCUAUUCAUGAUCUUCUUUCUCAAUUUUUUUUUCUGGGUGUAAUUUAAAGGUUUCUCAGCAUUAUACUUGUUCCACUAGUCUAUAAUAUAUCAAAGAAAUGAAAGUUUUAAAAUUUGGAAUAUACCAUUAAGAUUUUGUAUGUUGCAACCCCCCCCCCCCCUCUCGGGGGGCGAAAAUAAGAACUCUCCUUAACAGAAAGAAUAUUUCCAUGCAAUCUCCUAGUUGCACUCAAAUAUCAGAAGCAUAAAGAAGAUAUAGUGCCAGAAAAUGUAGUUGCAUAAUUUAGAUUCUUUAACAUGUCAUUGCACCAUAAUAAAGACACAUUUCCUCAAUUCCAAUCUAAUGGUAUCAAAAAUAUAGACACCAUUGCUCUUUCCUGAUGCCAUAUUAUCGUAAAUAUUGACAACUCUAUCAUAUUCCUUUCAGAUUCAGAUCAUAACACUCUAUUGAGGUCACAUAGCAAGUUUUCCUUUUCUUUACUCUAUAGUUUCUUCCAUAAAAAAAGAGAAAAAAAGAUAAGUGAACGGAAUAUAGAAUAUCUUUACCAUAAAUAAGUGAAUGAAUGAUUCCAAAUAUCAAAAAUUAUCACAUCUAUCCAUCAAAUGUUUUCUUCAUAGUUAUGCAUUAUUUUUAUUUUUAAAUUUGAUUUUUAACUAUUUUCUGUUUUAAUUCAGUCUGCUUUUAUUUUUUACAUUAAGUUUAUUUUUUUAUUUUCCAUAUUCAAUUUUGUAUCCUUCUAAAGCUUCUCUGAUGUCCGUUAUAUCUUCUUGUUAGAAAUGGCUUAUGGAGGAUUGGAUGCCAAACAAAUGUCAUGAAGUUAUAAUUUAUAAUUGUGUUUUCUUUCAUACCUUGGCAUAAGGAACAAAGUGAAUCAAUUAAGAAACACUUUUUUAAAAAUAAUACAACAAAAUCCUAUGAUUUCUUGUGGCUUCUAUAAACAGGUAGCUUCUUCCUUUUUAUGCCUCUGUUGUUCUAGAUGCACGGUGUACAUAUAUUUUUCCUCUAUUUAACCCUCAGUUUAUUCAUAGGUGUUAUUUAUAUAUUUUGCUUUCUUUCUCCUUGGUACUUGACAUGUAAUGAAUACAACAUACUAUAUUUUCCAAUUUCUUUACAAAAGACAAAUUAUUUUCAUUCGAUAUGAUGCUUAUUAAUGAAAAUGCAAAUCCAACUUUAUGACUGUAGAAGUCUUUUAUUUAUCAAUAAUGUUGAUCAGAUGGCUUAGGGUUUUAAGUAAAUAGUGAAUUAUUGUUGAAGCUUUUUAUGUUUUAAGCUUGGGAUUGGUGCUAGCAAGGUUUGGAGUCUUGGUAUCGGGCACCAUACUGGUAUAUUACCGGUUUAGUACGGGGACACACGUUGUACCUAGAUAUCUUUUGAGUCAUUUUUCUUACUUCCUAUCUCGGUACUGCUUGAAUCUGGGUAGUAUAGGUCGAUAUGUACCCUGGGUCACCUCGAUACAUCUUGUUAUGCCUCGGUAUGAGUCGGUACGGGUUCGAAUGGGGCCUGUACCAACCCGAAUACUGGGUGGUUCGGGGUGGUAGGGCAAACACUGCUCUAGCCUCUUUUAAUCCCUCUAAAAUCAUGUCUUUUUUUUUCUGAUCUUGAACUGUAGUGGAUGAAACAUAGUUGAUUCCAAGAUGACCUAUUCAAUUGCUUCAGAUCACUAGUUUUUUAUAAUUUUACUAGUGUCAACUUAAGCAAAUUUGUCAGUGAAGCUGUGGCAGCUAUUUGUGAUGGCAAGCUUAGAACUUCAGAUAUACUAGCUGCUGUGCAGGUAUCAAAUUGACAAUUUACAUUUUUGUUCCUGCAUUGCUUGCAAAUAUUGUCUUUAUCUUUGUGUCCAGCUUGAACUUUGUUAGUUAUUAGAAAACAUCUCAAAUCUCUACUGACUACUUGAUAGGAUUCUAGGACCUUUUACAUCUAUCCUUUUAGUUGGUGCAUAUUUAAAUUGUAUACCCAUAUAAUAUUCCUAAGACAUGGAUUGUGUGCUUUGUUUUCUUAUUUUUCUUGCAUUAAGUUUGUCUUUUUGUUUAAGAAUAGUCAAGAAGAAAAACGUCAAAUCAUUUCAUCAUACUUGCAGUUGUUUCCAUGUAUCUUACUUUGUUUUGGUCUUUUUUGUGGUCAAGUUUUCUGAAUUGGGAGUUGUUCUUGGGUUCUAUUUUUCUGCUAUUUAUAUCAUAUUUGGCCCCCCUUUUUUCUAAUAUUUGAAUGUGAUUAACUAUUUAAUCCUUACUGGGUUUGUCUCAGAAAACAUUUAAUUUUGUGAAACCAUUUCUGAAAAUCUUGGUGUUACAACAUUUUUUUUUAACUAUUCAUUUCUAAUUUCAUUGUUCUUAGUUUUUAAGUUUGGCUUUUUGUUUAAGAAUAGUCAAGAAGAAAAACGUCAAAUCAUUUCAUCAUACUUGCAGUUGUUUCCAUGUAUCUUCUUUGUUUUGGUCUUUUUUGUGGUCAAGUUUUCUGAAUUGGGAGUUGUUCUUGGGUUCUAUUUUUCUGCUAUUUAUAUCAUAUUUGGCCCCCCUUUUUUCUAAUAUUUGAAUGUGAUUAACUAUUUAAUCCUUACUGGGUUUGUCUCAGAAAACAUUUAAUUUUGUGAAACCAUUUCUGAAAAUCUUGGUGUUACAACAUUUUUUUUUAACUAUUCAUUUCUAAUUUUUUAACUAUUCAUUUCUAAUUUCAUUGUUCUAAUUUCAUUGUUCUUAGUUUUGUCCUCUAAAACUAGUGUCAACUUAAGCAAAUUUGUCAGUGAAGCUGUGGUAGCUAUUUGUGAUGGCAAGCUUAGAACUUCAGAUAUACAAGCUGCUGUGCAGGUAUCAAAUUGACAAUUUACAUUUUUGUUCCUGCAUUGCUUGCAAAUAUUGUCUUUAUCUUUGUGUCCAGCUUGAACUUUGUUAGUUAUUAGAAAACAUCUCAAAUCUCUACUGACUACUUGAUAGGAUUCUAGGACCUUUUACAUCUAUCCUUUUAGUUGGUGCAUAUUUAAAUUGUAUACCCAUAUAAUAUUCCUAAGACAUGGAUUGUGUGCUUUGUUUUCUUAUUUUUCUUGCAUUAAGUUUGGCUUUUUGUUUAAGAAUAGUCAAGAAGAAAAACGUCAAAUCAUUUCAUCAUACUUGCAGUUGUUUCCAUGUAUCUUACUUUGUUUUGGUCUUUUUUGUGGUCAAGUUUUCUGAAUUGGGAGUUGUUCUUGGGUUCUAUUUUUCUGCUAUUUAUAUCAUAUUUGGCCCCCCUUUUUUCUAAUAUUUGAAUGUGAUUAACUAUUUAAUCCUUACUGGGUUUGUCUCAGAAAACAUUUAAUUUUGUGAAACCAUUUCUGAAAAUCUUGGUGUUACAACAUUUUUUUUUAACUAUUCAUUUCUAAUUUCAUGUUCUUAGUUUUGAUCCUGCAUUUACAUCAGCAUUUUCAUUUCAGUUCUGUUUGCAGCAUGCUCACAACCUUUUUAGUGCUUGACAGUUUGUUGCAUACUUCGAAGCUAGUCUUGUACUUGUCUUUAAGUAGAGCAUAAUUACAAUAAAGUAAUAGGUAACGUGAAUUAUGCUUUUUUCAUUGAGUUUGGAAUUGAUGUUAUGGGGUACAUGAUGUUUUGUCAAGUUACUAGGUGUCCAAAAGCUAAGGAUCGCCGAACCGGUACCGGUCGGCGCCGAUAUCGGUUCAGACCGGUAUCGAACCGGCCACAGUGCACACACAGCGAAGGCGAGCGUGAGCACGCAUGAAUAUGCCACAACGCGCUACAGUGGCAUUAAAUGCCACUGUAGCAGAGCUAUAGUGUAUGGCUAUAGUGGCAUUAAAUGCCACAGUGGACCGGACUCGGUGCCGGUUCGCACGGAGUCUUGGUCAAACCAGACGGAACCGGUCCGGUUCCGUCUGGUUCGGCCUUAUACUGGUCGGGGCCGGAACCGUUUUGUGUAGCCAGCACACUGCUGAAAGCAGACAGACGAGCAUAAAACAUACAAUGACAAAAUUUGGCAGCAUGGUACAGUCAACAAAUAACCAGAUGAGACUAACUCUACUCGAGAAGGCAUGACUCUGUUAAUUAAAGCAUGUUAUUUGAGAGUACGGGCUGAACCGUACCGGCCGAUUCAGCAUAUCUUGCCAAAAGCAUAUAUAUUUGAUGUGUAUGCAGAUGUCUAUAUAUUGUAACAUGCAACUAAUUGGAUCUAUUUCCUAAUAUUUGCUAAAAUUGGUAAAUGAUAAGCCAAACUUACAUUAAUUUGACUUAUACGUAGAAUUGCCAGAAGUUGAUGUGUAAUUGGAGGGUCAAGCCUAUGAAAUGUCUAGUUAUUCAUGAAAUUCAAUUUAAAGUGUUUAGAUAAUGGUCGGCGGAAUUGUUCCGAAUCGGAUAGUUCCGGCCGAUUCGAGCCGUACCGGUGGCUCACCGGUACGGUUCCGGCAAUAGAAACGAAAUCCGUUGCCGGAGGCGGAGGAGAAGGAAAAGAGAGAGAGAGAGAGAGAGAGCGGAGGAGAGAGGGUGGCGGAGGCCGGCAGAGGGACCUUUUGCGAUUUACGCGGCUGUUCCCCUGUUUCGUUCCGCCGGGCCUCUGCCAUGCCUCCGCCACCCUCCGCCGGCCUCUCCCUCCCUCCCCCGCUCUCUCUCUUUUUCUCUCUUGUUCUCUCUCUUCCCUAUCUGUUCUACUGUGUCUGUACGGGCCUGGCGUGGCACGAUACAGGCCCGUACCGACUCGUCCUAUUGGAAAACUAGUACGGUGCCCAGUAUUGGUUCCACCAACGUUGGUUUGGAUAGCACCUUUUGGAACUAGAUAUCAUGGAUUAAGUGCUGAUUGGCAUGACACAACAUGAUACGGAUCAUGCUAGUACCUUAUAAGCAUGCAGAACCAUCAUGUUGUUGUCCGCAUAUAAUUACUUUUAUGCUGCUGUGUGAAGCAAUGGCAUGGGAUGGCAUGGCAGGAAUGACACUAGUAUUAUGCCAGCACCUUACUGGCACACAAUUCUUCCAUCUAUGGGAUGUGGAAGUGGAGGUAGGGGCAUAUUGCAUCUGGGAGGUAGGGUGGUGGUGCAGUGUGAUGUUUUAAGAAGGGUGAAGGAUAUAUAGGAGAGUUUGAAUCACCGUCAUGGUGUGAGAUUCUAGCAAAGCAGAGUGCAAAGGAGAGGGCAACUCAUAGUGUUUCCAUUGUACUUACACUAGUCUUUCCCCCUUAUGCCCUUCUAUUCUUGUAAGUCACUAAGAUGUUCCAAAACAGUUAUGGAUUUGAUGCUUCACAUUGUCAGGUGGAUAUUUGAUUAGGAUCCAGCUGGAAAUUGACCUGAAUCAGAAUAGUUGAUACCCUUGUUGUAUGUAUUUAUGCAUAUUACUUGCCGUCAUCCCGAACUUCAUUUUGUAACUCACAAUCAAUUUGUGUUAUCCAUUUUCUUUUACUUAAUCCUUCUUUUAAUAUAUCAGUUGCUAUUAUCUUUUUUUUUUUUGAAAAAUCAGAUCCACCUGAAAUGAUUUUGACACCUUUAUUUGUCAUCUGUAUGGUUUCCAUCUUUCCAUUUCUACGUCCUUGCUGAAUCAUUAUUUUGUUAUUACUGUCUGAGCCAGAUCUUCUUCAUCAAUGUAUUUGAAAUUUUGAAUCAUUACUAUGUACUCCUAGUGCAAAUCCUUUUUGGUAGUUAAGAAAGUCUUUUUUCAUUGUUCUAUAGUCCCAUCAUAUUUUACAAGGAUAUCAACAUCUUUAUGGUUCAUGGAUUAUGCUUCUAAUAUGGCUUAGAGCUCUAUCUAUUCAACCCCCAUCUUUGCUAGAUCUGGGUUUCCUUCUUAGUCAUGUUUUAUGUGAAGAAGUUAAUAUGCAAAGCUGCUUGUUCAAUGAUGGUUUCCAACCUCUCUGCCUUGGAAUUCUUGAUGUAAUCUAUUUUUCAUGUCAUUUAUCAAUCUGAGACCUUUUUCUUAUUAAUUAUGUAUUACACUCUAGGUUUACUAUUCAGUUACUUUGUUUAAGCAUCUUUUAACUUUAGAUUUGUCUACACGGCCCAGCCACUUAGCUGAUACCUUCUACCAUAAGGUCCCCUUUUGCCUCCAUUCAUCCGUCUUAUCCUUAUAUAUUUUGCCAUUAUAUGUCAAUUAUCAAGGGCCGAAAGAACAUAACCACCACCUAACUCUUACUCUUUUCUCUCUUACUGGCCGUUUUUACUAGUCUAUGCUUGGUAAUCAAACGUUACCUGGGGAUAACUUGACAUUUCUUAUGUCAUUUGUUAUUGUUCUGGAUGCUAGGUCUGCAUCUGGUGAUGCAAAUUAAAGCUCAGGUUUGUUCUGAUGUUAUACACCUGCAAUUCAGGAAUAGCUUUAAGGGAAUGAGUUAAUGUUGACAGAUAAAAACCCUUUAGGAUGUAUCCUUAAUGAGUUAAUGUUGUCUACACGCUCUUGAUGAUCUAUGGUUUCUCUUACAUUUACCUGUUUAUGGCACAGUUGUAUAAUUUAGGGAUAAUCAAUAUAUACAGUUCAAUAAGAAUGAGUGUAAAAAAACACACCACAAAAUUAAGAUAAUCUUAUUAAUAAUUUUGUGGUUCUUCCUUGCAAUGUCAAGUAUUUUUGUUCCACCUCAUUGUGUUAUUUAAAAAGGUCGAAACACUGAUCCAUAAGAGUCAGAAUCGUGCAGCAUCAUGAAUCAAUUUUAUACAUUCAGGCAUCUUAUUCUGCUACAUGGGAACAUUCACUUAUCUAUUACUCUGAUUAUUUUUGUUGAUCAGUCUUUUAUAGGUUCUCGUAGCAGUUUUUUCUCCACUUUAUUUUCAGAAAACUCUCAAAUAACAUGCUUUAAUUAACAGAGUCAUGCCUUCUCAAGUAGAGUUAGUCUCAUCUGGUUAUUUGUUGACUGUACCAUGCUGCCAAAUUUUGUCAUUUUAUGUUUUAUGCUCGUCUGUCUGCUUUCAGCGGUGUGCUGGCUACAAAGAUAAAAGAAGAAUGCAAAAGCAGGGUCGAUAACAUGCUUUAUUUUUCUUUUCAACCAACUUAUGUCAAUAACUAGCACUUGGUCUUUUUGUGCCUAAGAGCCUAAGAGUGAGCAUCCCACAGCUGCCUUCCAUGUUGCGGGAAAGAGCAUUGCCUUGGGUGGGUGGUGGUUAUUAUCACAAACUUGUUGCAGGAUAGUGUACUUCUGGACAGACUGAUCAUAUGUCAUAGGUACUGUCGCUUGAUCCACCGAUCCUUCUCAUGGUUGAUUGGGUAGAACUACUUGGUUAGACUCUUGAAUUUAUUCUAUGCUAGAUUUGAGAUGUCGUUUUCCUUAUGUACGAAUUCCACCAGGUAAGAUCAUUGCUAGGAAGCUUGAGAUUGGCAAAAGAUAUCUUUUGGAUAUUAGAGUAUCUAUAAACAGUAAAGUAUGUCUCAACUGGUCUAGCUAAUUGUUCUCGAUUUGACCUUUAACUUUAAAUGGUUGACGAGAGAUAUUUUUUGUACCUGUAGGCUGCUUAUCCCAUCCUCCUUCCUGGAUGGUAGAUUGUCAUCUUGAGAUGUAGGAAACAACUUGGCAAUAGGAGUUGCUGGUGCUUGUGCUGAAGGUAUCACCAAUUUGAAGAUGAUCUUAGUGAGUUAGACAAUCUUCUCCUCCAGUUGUAUGAGACGUCCCUUUGUCUCAUUAUCCAUCGAGGAAGAACUAGCAUCCAUACUCGUCUUUGUCCUUUGAUGUACUUGAAGCACGGAUAGAACUUCUCUUGAUUGCUUGUUGUUCAUGUAUUUGGACCAUGAAUAGAGGCCCCCAUGGAUAUAGAGGAUUAGAGCUUUGAUACCAACCUAAUCCGAUUGGGGAGAAAGAAGAAUUUCUAGCUUUGGUACCAACUUACUCUCAUUAAUGUAGAGGAAUCUGGCUCUGAUACUAACUUAUUCCUACAGGUGUCACUACAGAAAAAUUGUGCCGUAACGAUCCUUUUUUGCCGACGCUUUUCCCAAGCGUCGGUGCUUUUUGAACUAGCGUCAUCGUAGACUAUGGCUUAAGACGAUGCUGAUACGCGUCGUCAGAAGUAAAAUUGACAUCAAAACCUAGCGGUCGUUCCCCUCCUCCUCAUUCUGCAUCCCGAUCAAGGCUAGCCCUAGCUCCUCUCCUCCUCUCUCCUCUCCAACGACGAGCGGCCGACUCUUGUCCUCUCCGGUGCCGAGCGACGUCCGACGGUAAGCUUCUCUCCUCCUUCCUCCUCUCCGACGACGAGCGGCCGACCCUUAUCCUCUCCGGCGCUGAGCGACGUCUGACGGCAAGCUCCUCUCCUCCUCCCUCCUUUCCGACGACGAGUGGCUGACCCUUGUCUUCUCUAGUGCCGAGCGACGUUCGAUGGCAAGCUCCUCUCCUCCUCCCUCCUCUCCGACGAUGAGUGGCCGACCCUUGUCCUCUCCGGCGCCGAGCGACGUCCGACGGCAAGCUCCUCUCCUCCUCCCUCCUCUUUGGCAUUUAAUAGCAGGUAACAACAUGCUGCGAGAAAAAUGAUUCAGAGAUGUUGAGUUUUAGUACACGUCCGUGGGAUCUUCUUCCAAUCAGUCCCUGCGGUCCCAGCAGCCUGACGAGCCCCAGCAGCACGAGUCCUGUUCUCAGCAUGAGUCCCAUACUCAGCACGAGUCUCAGUCUGAGCACGUUCCACCUGCUGAUUAUCCAUACAUGGAUGACGUGCACAUCCAGGAUAAUUUGAUUUACAUUUUAUAUAUUAACUUUUCUUACAAUCUAAUUAUAUUAAAUCAUUUGCCUUUAAUAUUUUAAUUAAUGAAUGGAUAUUUUAUUUUAUUUUUAUAGAUGGACUGGGGAGAGUGAGGAGGACACGAGGACCCACUUGAGCAUUGGACAUGUGGAGCCUACGCGAGGAUGAGAAGAUCGUGGUACAUUGCAAUGAACUGGGGCAGCCUAUCAAGAGGGUUGCAAGCAUUUUAUCAAUUUUUUUAAGAUCGGUUGUGCGGAAGGGUCAGUUGUGUUCGCUCAGCUAUACGAAAUGAGAUGAAAUGCCUCCUUCAUAUAAGGUUGAGCUUAUUAAAGUUAUUGAGAAAAAGUUUUUGCUCCUUAAAGAGAGAGCCAUGAUUGGGUGCUGAAGUCCGUCAACCGCAAGUGGAAAGAAUAUAGGGCCAAGUUAAAGGUAGACUGGAAGCACGAUGGUAUGACAGAAGAGGAGAUUGCCCGUGUUUUUCCUCCUGAUGUAAUCCCUCAUCAGUAGAGGGAGCUUGUCCACUAUUAGUUUUCCAUGAAAGCUCAGACAUAUUCCAACAUUGGUACAGACUAUUCCUCAUACUCCAGGCUCGAUGAGUUAUGCUCGACGUAGAGCUGAAUUCAUGGAUGAUAAUGGGAGGGAGCCUGAUAAGGUGGAGUUUUAUAAGAUGACUCACACCCACCGAGAUAGCAGUUUUGUUCGAAAGGAGUCAAAAGAUAUAGUUGACAGGGCAACAACUCUUAUUUUAGAGCACGUCGGGGAGUCAUCAUCAUCUGACACGACCAAUCAUGUCAAAGCUCAGGUGCUCGCUGAAUUAUUAGGCCCAGAGCAUUAUGGUAGAGUGAGGGGUUAUGGCGUUGGAGUUACCCCCACUCAGUUGUCUGCAAUGGGCAUGUAUACAAAAAAAGCUGGAGAAGGCAAUACAAUGCAGAAGUUAGUAGACUUCGGGCAUCAAUUGAAGAUAUGAAGGAUCGCCAUCAGGCAGAGUUGGUGGAGCUGAAGCAGAACUAACAAACUUUGCAGUCUCAGCUCGAGCAUAUUUCAUCUAUGUUACAACGAUUUCUCCCUCCUUAGAUUUUUGAUACUUCAACAACUCGUAGAGAUGAUGAUGGUGCUGAAUUUGGUCCCUCUUACUUUUUAGACUGUUAUUUAAGAAAUUUUAUAUAUAUCUUUCUUAUAUUUUUCAAAGUACAUUGUAAUUCUAAACUUAUUAAUCAUAUAUGACAAUAUGAAU